rnacentral:rRNA from 1 species
GGAAGGAUCAUUACUGAAUUGUCGACACGAGUUGUUGCUGGUCCCCAAAUGGGGGCACGUGCACGCUCUGUUCGCACAUCCAUUCACACCUGUGCACCCCAUGUAGUUCUAUGGUUUGGGGGACUCUUCCCUCUGCUGUGGUGCUAUAUCCUUACACACACUCUGUGAUAAAGUCUUAUGGAAUGUAUGCAGCGUUUAACGCAAUACAAUACAACUUUCAGCAACGGAUCUCUUGGCUCUCGCAUCGAUGAAGAACGCAGCGAAAUGCGAUAAGUAAUGUGAAUUGCAGAAUUCAGUGAAUCAUCGAAUCUUUGAACGCACCUUGCGCCCUUUGGCUAUUCCAAAGGGCAUGCCUGUUUGAGUAUCAUGAACACCUCAACUCUCGUGCUUUGCCAUGAUGAGCUUGGACUUUGGGGGUCUUGCUGGCCUGUGGUCAGCUCCUCUCAAAUGAAUCAGCUUUCCAGUGUUUGGUGGCAUCACAGGUGUGAUAAAUAUCUACACUUGUGGUUUCCUGCCGAGUAACCUUCAGCAAUGGGGGUUUGCUGGAGCUCAUAAAUGUCUCUCCUCAGCGAAGACAGCUUUGUGAAUGUUUGAUCUCAAAUCAGG